rnacentral:rRNA from 1 species
AGCAGUAGGGAAUAUUGGGCAAUGGGCGAGAGCCUGACCCAGCCAUGCCGCGUGCAGGAAGAAGGCUUUCUGAGUCGUAAACUGCUUUUGACAGGGAAGAAUAAGGACUACGUGUAGUCUGAUGACGGUACCUGCAGAAUAAGCACCGGCUAACUCCGUGCCAGCAGCCGCGGUAAUACGGAGGGUGCGAGCGUUGUCCGGAUUUAUUGGGUUUAAAGGGUGCGUAGGCGGCUUUUUAAGUCUGGGGUGAAAGCCCGCUGCUCAACAGCGGAACUGCCCUGGAUACUGGAGAGCUUGAGAGUAGAGGAGGUUGGCGGAAUGGACAGAGUAGCGGUGAAAUGCAUAGAUACUGUCCAGAACCCCGAUUGCGAAGGCAGCUGACUACACUACAUCUGACGCUGAGG